CCUAACCGUGCGAAGGUAGCACAAUCACUUGUUCUUUAAUUUAGGACCAGUAUGAACGGCCUCACGAGAGCUACACUGUCUCCCCCCCCCAAUCAGUGAAACUGAUCUCCUCGUGAAGAAGCGAGGAUAACUAUGCAAGACGAGAAGACCCCAUGGAGCUUUAAACUUGUACCACUGCCUCAAACUAAUACCAAUAAAUUCAGGCAAGCAAUGACUACGAGUCUUUCGGCUGGGGCGACCACGAAGAAAAACUAAACCUCCGCGAUGAAAGGGGACAACCCACUAAUCAAAGAGCUACCGCUCAAAGAAUCAACAAAUUGACACAUUGACCCAAAUUUUUUGAUCAACGAACCAAGUUACCCUGGGGAUAACAGCGCAAUCCAUUUUGAGAGACCCCAUCGACAAAUGGGCUUACGACCUCGAUGUUGGAUCAGGGUAUCCCAGUGGUGCAGCCGCUACUAAAGGUUCGUUUGUUCAACGAUCAAAACCCUACGUGAUCUGAGUUCAGACCG
rnacentral:rRNA from 1 species